rnacentral:rRNA from 1 species
GUUUGAUCCUGGCUCGGAUGAACGCUAGCGGCAGGCCUAACACAUGCAAGUCGAGGGGUAUAGAGAGCUUGCUUUCUAGAGACCGGCGGAUGGGUGAGUAACGCGUAUGCAACCUACCUUUUACAGGGGAAUAGCCCGGAGAAAUUCGGAUUAAUGCUCCAUGGUUUAUAUGAGUGGCAUCAUUUAUAUAAUAAAGAUUUAUCGGUAAAAGAUGGGCAUGCGUAUCAUUAGCUAGUUGGUGUGGUAACGGCAUACCAAGGCGACGAUGAUUAGGGGUCCUGAGAGGGAGAUCCCCCACACUGGUACUGAGACACGGACCAGACUCCUACGGGAGGCAGCAGUGAGGAAUAUUGGUCAAUGGAGGCAACUCUGAACCAGCCAUGCCGCGUGCAGGAUGACGGUCCUAUGGAUUGUAAACUGCUUUUGUACGGGAAGAAAUGUAAUUACGUGUAAUUAUUUGACGGUACCGUAAGAAUAAGGAUCGGCUAACUCCGUGCCAGCAGCCGCGGUAGUACGGAGGAUCCGAGCGUUAUCCGGAAUUAUUGGGUUUAAAGGGUUCGUAGGCGGUUUAGUAAGUCAGUGGUGAAACCUUAUAGCUUAACUAUAAAAUUGCCGUUGAUACUGCUAAACUUGAAUAGUAUGGAAGUAAUUAGAAUAUGUAGUGUAGCGGUGAAAUGCUUAGAUAUUACAUGGAAUACCAAUUGCGAAGGCAGAUUACUACGUACUUAUUGACGCUGAUGAACGAAAGCGUGGGUAGCGAACAGGAUUAGAUACCCUGGUAGUCCACGCCGUANACGAUGGAUACUAGCUGUUCGGUUUUCGGACUGAGUGGCUAAGCGAAAGUGAUAAGUAUCCCACCUGGGGAGUACGUUCGCAAGAAUGAAACUCAAAGGAAUUG